CGGGAAUUAAUCUCUUUUUGUCCCCCUGGCCCCUUUAAUGUCCUCUUUCCAGAGCAGGUCAGUGGCCUAUGGGAGGGAGCUGUCACAUGUCUCCUCCUGGCCUUGCCCUGGUUCCAUCUGAUUUGUGAUUUCAGAAAUGCCAGACUCGCUGGUGGGGCAGGCGGCCUCCUGCAUGACUUCCUGCACAGGGUCAGCUGAUCCUCACCUCCCCGUGGGCACCAGAUACGUCUAUCACUUUUCCACUAACACCAGCACCAGCCUGCAGGGGGCCCAGGUGGAGGGGAGUGGCCUUGGUCUGCAAGGCUUGGUCACCCUUGAUGUGCUUGGUCCUUGCCAGAUGGCCUUACAGCUCCAGCACUUCCAGCUGACAUCCAUCCUGGGGUCCAAGGUGGAAGUUCUGAAGCAGUCGGAGAGUCUGAGGUAAGACGCUGGGCCUUGCUCCCCAUGGGGCUCCCUUUUCCAAUGGCCACUGGGUGCACCAGAUUGUAUUGAAAGAAUCCAGUUAGGGUAACCCCCUUACAUCAGAAAAAGGCCAUUUUGGAUUGAAGUUCAAAGAGGAUUCCAUCUUUGUUUUGACCUUGUAAACACCCAGACCAUUGAUGACGACCAUUGGGGGUUGUUGUGAUGUGGGAGCCUUGAGGGGCUCCAAAGAGCUUCAGAUGGCCUUCCCUUAUCUGGAGGAAGGAACUCUCGCCCCAUAUUUUCCUGGAUGUCACUCUCAGCAUGUCCAGAUUUUAUGUCUGCCCAGCACCCUCUGGGCUUCAUCUUUAAGAACAUUCUGGAAGACACUGGGCACACAUUGAGGCCUGCCCUUCUCCUCCUCCUCCCUGCUGAGAUGGGGGUUUUCCCUGGAGACCCAUAGCUUCUUUCUCCCUCCCCAAGCCAAGCUCCCCUUGGUGACCCAGCCAAGCCUGGAAUUCUCCCUUGGCGUGUUUCCCAGGGACUCCUGAAGUGGCUUCCGGGCCACAAAGCUCAGUCCAGCCGCCAGUCUGAAGACAAGCCCAUCUCCGC
rnacentral:lncRNA from 1 species